AUAUACAUCUUGUUUGCCUGGCUGUGAAAACACUGCAAAAGCUUCUGGAUUAUAGUAAUGCAGCAGUAACCCUUUUCAAAGAUUUGGGUGGAGUUGAGCUUUUGGCUAAUAGGUUACAGAUAGAAGUGCACAGAGUGAUUGACAUGGCUGGAGAUGAUGACAAUUCUAUGAUCAUUGGUGAGCAUUUUAAAUCUAGUGAUGAACAAUCAUAUUCUCAAAAGAGACUUAUUAGGGUUUUGUUGAAGGCACUAUAGAGCUUUUGGCAAAUAGGUUACAGAUAGAAGUGCACAGAGUGAUUGACAUGGCUGGAGAUGAUGACAAUUCUAUGAUCAUUGGUGAGCAUUUUAUACCUAGUGAUGAACGAUCAUAUUCUCAAAAGAGACUUAUUAGGGUCUUGUUGAAGGUACUUGGGUCUGCUACCUAUGCUCCUGCAAAUUCGGCCAGAUCGCAGAGUUCUAACGAUGCAUCUUUACCUGCCACUUUGUGUCUGAUAUUUAGUAAUGUGGAAAGAUUUGGAGGUGAUAUUUAUUCCUCGGCGGUUACUGUUAUGAGUGAAAUAAUUCACAAAGACCCCACAUGUUUCCCUGCUUUGCAUGAGUUGGGUCUUCCUAAUGCUUUUUUGUCCUCAGUGGUGUCUGGAAUACUACCUUCUCCAAAAGCUCUUACUUGUGUACCUAAUGGUCUUGGUGCAAUUUGCCUUAAUGGGAAGGGACUGGAAUCAGUGAAGGAAACUUCAGCGUUGCGUUUCCUUAUUGUGUACCUUAUGGUCUUGGUGCAAUUUGCCUUAAUGGGAAGGGACUGGAAUCUGUGAAGGAAACUUCAGCAUUGCGUUUCCUUGUUGACAUAUUUACCGACAAGAAAUACGUGGUAGCUAUGAAUGAAGGUAUUGUCCCUUUGGCAAAUGCUGUGGACGAGCUG
rnacentral:lncRNA from 1 species